rnacentral:rRNA from 1 species
AUUGAACGCUGGCGGCAGGCCUAACACAUGCAAGUCGAGCGGAGCGGCGGACGGGUGAGUACUGCCUAGGAAUCUGCAUGGGAGUGGGGGAUAACGUACGGAAACGGGAGAUAAUACCGCCGACUAGCAGAUGAGCCUAGGUGGGUUUAGCUGGUUGGUGGGGUAAAGGCCUACCAAGGCGACGAUCCGUAACUGGUCUGAGAGGAUGAUCAGUCACACUGGAACUGAGACACGGUCCAGACCCCUACGGGAGGCACCAGUGGGGAAUAUUGGACAAUGGGCUAAAGCCUGAUCCAGACAUGCCGCGUGUGUGAAGAGUGUCUUCGGAUUGUAAAGUACUUUAAGUUGGGAGGCGUUACCAACAGAAUAAGCGCCGGCUAACUUCGUGCCAGCAGCCGCGGUAAUUC